UUAGCACACUUAAAGUUAAUUUUGAUACAUCCUAUGUAAUAAGGGAUCAUAAUGCUAGGGUUAUCCAAGCUGAAGGCAAACUUUUGUUACUUUCCUCUGUUCCUAUUGCUGAACUCAUUGCAGCCUGGUUGGGUGUCCGGGCUACAAUUCAGGAUAUAUCUUCAUGCAAUCCGGGUUUGGGUAGAGGAUGAUUCUGCUAU
rnacentral:lncRNA from 1 species